rnacentral:rRNA from 1 species
UACGUAGGGUGCAAGCGUUGUCCGGAAUUAUUGGGCGUAAAGAGCUCGUAGGCGGUGUGUCGCGUCGGCCGUGAAAACCUGCAGCUUAACUGUGGGCUUGCGGUCGAUACGGGCAUCACUGGAGUUCGGCAGGGGAGACUGGAAUUCCUGGUGUAGCGGUGAAAUGCGCAGAUAUCAAGGAGGAACACCGGUGGCGAAGGCGGGUCUCUGGGCCGACCCUGACGCUGAGGCGCGAAGGCGUGGGGAGCGAACGGG